AUUGAACGCUGGCGGCAGGCUUAACACAUGCAAGUCGAGCGGAAACGAUGGGAGCUUGCUCCCAGGCGUCGAGCGGCGGACGGGUGAGUAACGCGUAGGAAUCUACCCAGUAGAGGGGGAUAGCCCGGGGAAACCCGGAUUAAUACCGCAUACGCCCUAAGGGGGAAAGGCCGGGAUCUUCGGACCGGUCACUAUUGGAUGAGCCUGCGUAAGAUUAGCUAGUUGGUAGGGUAAAGGCCUACCAAGG
rnacentral:rRNA from 1 species